AAGUCGUAACAAGGUUUUCCUUCCGGUUAAAGCUAUUAACCUAUUGAAGCCUGACGUGGGGCGACUAUAAAGAUAACCAUGGAGUUCGAUCUUCGGAUUGGACAACACCGCUGAAAUGCUGUGAUCAACUUAUUGUUGUACCAGCAGCCCUCUUAUGGGGGCCCACAGAUCAAGCUGCGGUGAUCCUACCUAGAUUAUUUAGGUAGGACUAUAAUAUGACCGGUCUCACCUGAGAUGGUUGAGAGAACAUGUUCCGUAGGUGAACCUGCGGAAGGAUCAUUACCGAGUUAGGGUCUUAUAGGCCCGACCUCCAACCCUUUGUUUACUAUACCAUGUUGCUUUGGUAGGCCCGUCUUUCGGGGCCACCGGGGGCUUCCAUACCCUUGGUCAGUGCCUGCCAAUAGCCUUAUUAAAUUCUUUCAUAAUUAUGUUGUCUGAGUAUAAAUAUAAAUCGUUAAAA
rnacentral:misc_RNA from 1 species